CGUGUAGGUGGUUUGGUAAGUAGGGCGUGAAAGCUCCUGGCUCAACUGGGAGAGGUCGUUCUAAACUGCCGAACUAGAGGAUGGUAGAGGGAAGUGGAAUUCCGGGUGUAGCGGUGGAAUGCGCAGAUAUCCGGAGGAACACCAGUGGCGAAAGCGGCUUCCUGGACCACUCCUGACACUCAGACGCGAAAGCUAGGGUAGCAAACG
rnacentral:rRNA from 1 species